rnacentral:rRNA from 1 species
AGAGUUUGAUCCUGGCUCAGGAUGAACGCUGGCGGCGUGCUUAACACAUGCAAGUCGAACGAGCCUUCGGGCUAGUGGCGGACGGGUGAGUAACGCGUGGGAAUCUGCCCUCAGGAGGGGGAUAACGGCCGGAAACGGCCGCUAAUACCCCAUAUGCCGAGAGGUGAAACGAAUUUCGCCUGAGGAUGAGCCCGCGUCUGAUUAGCUAGUUGGUGAGGUAAUGGCUCACCAAGGCAUCGAUCAGUAGCUGGUCUGAGAGGAUGAUCAGCCACACUGGGACUGAGACACGGCCCAGACUCCUACGGGAGGCAGCAGUGGGGAAUUUUCCGCAAUGGGCGCAAGCCUGACGGAGCAACGCCGCGUGAGGGACGAAGGCCUCUGGGCUGUAAACCUCUUUUCUCAAGGAAGAAGACAUGACGGUACUUGAGGAAUAAGCCACGGCUAAUUCCGUGCCAGCAGCCGCGGUAAUACGGGAGUGGCAAGCGUUAUCCGGAAUUAUUGGGCGUAAAGCGUCCGCAGGCGGCCUUGAAAGUCUGUUGUUAAAGCGUGGAGCUCAACUCCAUUUCAGCAAUGGAAACUACAAGGCUAGAGUGUGGUAGGGGCAGAGGGAAUUCCCGGUGUAGCGGUGAAAUGCGUAGAUAUCGGGAAGAACACCAGUGGCGAAGGCGCUCUGCUGGGCCAUAACUGACGCUCAUGGACGAAAGCCAGGGGAGCGAAAGGGAUUAGAUACCCCUGUAGUCCUGGCCGUAAACGAUGAACACUAGGUGUCGGGAGAAUUAACCCUUUCGGUUCGUAGCCAACGCGUUAAGUGUUCCGCCUGGGGAGUACGCACGCAAGUGUGAAACUCAAAGGAAUUGACGGGGGCCCGCACAAGCGGUGGAGUAUGUGGUUUAAUUCGAUGCAACGCGAAGAACCUUACCAGGGUUUGACAUCCUGCGAAUCCUUUGGAAACUUAGGAGUGCCUUCGGGAGCGCAGUGACAGGUGGUGCAUGGCUGUCGUCAGCUCGUGUCGUGAGAUGUUGGGUUAAGUCCCGCAACGAGCGCAACCCACGUCUUUAGUUGCCAGCAUUUAGUUGGGCACUCUAGAGAGACCGCCGGUGAUAAACCGGAGGAAGGUGUGGAUGACGUCAAGUCAUCAUGCCCCUUACAUCCUGGGCUACACACGUACUACAAUGCUACGGACAAAGGGCAGCAAACUCGCGAGAGCUAGCAAAUCCCAUAAACCGUGGCUCAGUUCAGAUCGUAGGCUGCAACUCGCCUACGUGAAGGAGGAAUCGCUAGUAAUCGCAGGUCAGCAUACUGCGGUGAAUACGCUCCCGGGCCUUGUACACACCGCCCGUCACACCAUGGAAGUUGGCCAUGCCCGAAGUCGUUACUCCAACCCGCAAGGGAGGAGGACGCCGAAGGUGGGGCUGAUGACUGGGGUGAAGUCGGAACAAGGUA